ensembl:lncRNA
GUGAAGUCUUUGUAUACAUAUACCUAGAGCAUGAGGGCGGAGAAGGCAAUGGCACCCCACUCCAGUACUCUUGCCUGGAAAAUCCCAUGGAUGGAGGAGCCUGGUAGGCUGCAGUCCAUGGGGUCACUGAGUAAGACAUGACUGAGUGACUUCACUUUCACUUUUCACUUUUCAUGCAUUGGAGAAGGAAAUGGCAACCCCUUCCAGUGUUCUUGCCUGGAGAAUCCCAGGGACGGGGGAGCCUGUUGGACUGCCGUCUGUGGGGUUGCACAGAGUCGGACACGACUGAAGUGACUUAGUUUAGCAGAGCAUGAGGACAGUAGAUGGCAUUAUGAGAGAAAAAUGAAGUGAUAGUUCUUCAAGAACUGUCUUGUUUAGACAAAGAAAGUCUUUUUUUUUUUUUUUUAAUUCAGGUCACCCAGAUUUUUCUCCAGGUUCUGCUGACUGAUCUACCUUAUACUUCCACUAUUUAAUUCCACACCAGUUUGAACAGAGAAUUCACUUUUUUGUCUUGUGUAAUGCACUUGUGUACAAAGUUCUCAGUCUUCUGCGCUUAUCGCGGUUUGCCUUGCACAGAGCAUUCGUGACUUUUUGUCAGUUUACCCUUGCCUUACUAUCUGGAGAGUGAAGGCUGCUGUCAUCCUUGGUCAGGUUGGGCUGACUUCUGUGCGGGCCCAGCAGUGCCCUCUCUGGCCCCUCUCUAUUUCUUUGUACCUGCUCUUACCACAAACAGCAGCGUUCUUGCCCAUGGGAACAAUUUUCACGCUCCUGGAGUCCCUUGUGAUAUGAGUCUAAGACUAAACUGCUGUCCCUUUGUAUGGAGUCCUGGGUAUCAAACUAUUGCCACGUCAAGUUUUCUUUAUAUAGGUCAGUUUUUGUGGAAGGUCUAGACACUUCAGAGAAUGGAGGGCUAUAUAAAAUGUAUAUAUUUUAUACUAUAUAUGAAUUAUAUCGGGAUUAAAGAUACUUACAUUUUCUAUAGCCUUUUUGGUCCAUAUGCUUAGUCAUGAUUUGAGAGAGAGGUAAGUUAAACAUUCUACUUACAGGUUAUUGUCAAGUUCUCCUUUUAUUUUCUUUGGUUUUUUACUUUUUUCCUGUACCAUAUGUGGCUAUGUUUUCUGUACAAUAUGUUGCUUAUGAACUCAGAAUUGUCAGAUUUCCAUUGUGAGUUUUACCUUGAUCUUUAUAUUUUUAUAUUAUUUUUUUCCUCACUGAAUGCUUUUGAAAUUCCAGAUAUUACGAAUAUGACCUAUUUUAUUUUGGCUUGCACUUGCCUGAUACACCUUUAUUUAUCAUUUUAUUUUUGAUAUUGUGUUGAUUGAUUUAGGGAUUUUAUUUUAAUAUACAGUACUAUGUAGUAGAUUUUGCUUUGUGAUUCUAUUUUAGUAUCUUAUUUCAUAUAUUAGAAUAGUCUAGUUGUAUUCAUUUAUAUGUAGUGUAUCUUUGCUCUUAAGUUAUGCUUUCUGGUAUUAUUGCUUAGUUUAUCUUUUUGUAGAGGGAUACUUUUCAUUGCAAGUAAGAAAAACUUCAAAUGAAAUAAAUUUAAAGUUUAAAGAAGGUACAAAGUUGGUGAGCUCCAGCCACAGUUCUAUCAGGAUGGCUGCGUGUUGCCGUGUUCAUGUCCAGCACAACAGAAACUGAGGAAGACUCUCCUUCAGCCAUGGAACUGUUCCAAAACCACUGCUGAUGGUGACUGCAGCCAUGAAAUUAAAAGACGCUUGCUCCUUGGAAGAAAAGCUAUGACCAGCCCAGACAGCAUAUUAAAAAGCAGAGACAUUCAUUACUUUGCCAACAUAGGUCUGUCUAGUCACGGCUAUGGUUUUGCCAGUAGUCAUGUAUGGAUGUGAGAAUUGGACUAUAAAGAAAGCUGAACACUGAAGAAUUAAUGCUUUUGAACUGUGGUGUUGGAGAAGACUCUUGAGUGUCCCUUGGACUGCAAGGAUAUCCAACCAGUCCAUCCUAAAGGAGCUUAGUCCUGAAUAUUCAUUGGAAGGACUGAUGCUGAAUCUGAAACGCCAAUACUUUGGCCACCUGGUGCAAAGAACUGACUCACUGGAAAAGACCCUGAUUCUGGGAAAGAUUGAAGGCAGGAGGAGAAGGGAUGAGGUGGUUGGGUGGUAUCACCAACUCAAUGGACAUGAGUUUGAGUAAACUCCAGUUGGUGAUGAACAGGGAAGCCUGGCAUGCUGCAGUCCAUGGGGUCACAAAGAGUCAGACAUGACUGAGCGACUGAACUGAACUGAUUUUGUUAGAAAAUCUUUGCAUUAAAUAUUUAAGAAAACAUGGUCAAUUGAGUCAGCUUGUGAUUCCAAUUGUAAGAUGUGUAAUUGAUUUAAUUUGAUUUUAACCUGAAAUCAAACUUAAUUUUUAGAUGUAUAAGAAUUAUAUGAGCACCUUGGAUUAUUUGUCAGAUGUUUAAAUAUUUAAAAUACUUUUUAAAAUGCUUAAACAAGCGUCAUGGAGCAAGCUAGUUAAUGGACUGAAUAAAAGGAUCCUUUAAAAAUUGAUUAAAAUUUGCUAGACUUACAAAUAAAAUAAUGUCUUAAAGUCAGCUUAAGUCCUUAGGAAUUUUGAAUUUCUAACUUUACUAAGUGAAACAUUUUAAAAACCAAAGUGUUCUCUGAAUGUUCUCUCUUGUAUCCCCGGGCUGCCCUGGACAGUAUUACAGAACUCACAUUAACAGAGUCUGCUGCCCUUGUGUUCCAGUCUGGACUGAUUGCUCUCUAAGCCUGCUGCCCCUACUUACCUGUGUUAGCUUCAUGUGACCCAGACUCUGUACACAUGCGUUCCUCUGAAUCUCAAGGCCACACCCAUCACACUAAAAGGAUUCAGCAUUCUUUCAGGAAGGAGGAAGGGCAAACAUGUCAGGGGCUGGGUAAGAAGUAGAUGUCGAAUAGAAGACCAUUGGUUUUCUGGAAAUCUUGAAAUCUAUUUCAAAGGCUGUCUGCCAAACAGGCUUUCCUCCAAGCCCCAUCCUGUCCUUGCCUCACAUAGUACUCUAUGCCCCAACCCCUCAGUGUUUCUUGGUUUCUUGGAGCAGCUGGUUUGCUUUUCUUUGGUGUCUCCAUCUGCGGUGCCUUCGGAUGCAAUUGCCUCUGCUCUCCAGUAACACGAUGUGUGCCUUCUACUUUCCAAAAACCUGUUGAUACCCUGAUAUUCCUUUCAUUCAUACUCUUUAUGGUUUGUUAUUGUUCCUUUCUUGUCAUUUUAGAAUGGUUUGAGAAGGAGUUAUAGUUAAAUUGCACGAGUUCAGCUUUCAUUAUUGGCUUCACCCAUCAUUUUUAUGGAGCUCAGACAGCACACUGCUGACAUUCAUCUGACCAGUGUUCUGUGUCACACCAUUCUGGUUACAGAGGAUGAAGGUGUCGUCUCCAGAAAGGCC